rnacentral:lncRNA from 1 species
UACCCUACAAAAGAGAUGGCUUUCUCAAUUUACAAAGGAGAAUGCUGAGGUUCACCCCUCCGACACAUCUUUAAGCACCAUCUGGAGCUUCAAUUCAAACACAUUUUUAAAAAAGAUCUUUCGAAUUAUUUUGUCUGUAACUCCCAAAGGACACCCCAAUGGACCGAUUGAUGUUUCAUCUGUUCUUAAUACUGUAACAUAAAUAAAAGUUAAUGCGCUUUAGCACGCCACACAAGCCUGAUUCAAAGAAACAUCAUUUACAGGCCUUGUUAGAGGCGUCUGCAGGG